rnacentral:lncRNA from 10 species
CAAUUCUGGAAAGAAGACAUUAAAUUGUCAAGUUGGUCUUUCUUUUGAAAAGGAUAAAACAAGGCUCUUUUGGCAGACUUAAGACCUGUGACUUCAGGAUCACUCUUCCUUCCCACUGCGAAGCAGCCAUCUGGGGCUGAGGAAAGCAGCGGAGCUGCGAGCAGCCAUCCUGCCAGCCGGGCUUACCAGCCAGGCUCAGUGCUGUGUCUACACGGACACCUUGGUAGCCUCUUGGCUGCACUCGGAGAACUAUACGUCCCUGGGAUUUGCUUCAGCAAAGAUUCGGUGUUAAGACAACUCAGAUGCAAGGAAGAACUACUUGGACUGCUUCCUCUUGGAGGGUUUGAAACAAUUCUGUUCCGUGAAAAGUGUCAUUCCAGCAAUAAUUUGCAAGUUAGGCAGAAAGAGAUGUCAUCUCAUGACACUGUCUCACGCUUAAUACGGUGUUUAACACAAUGGUCCUCAAGUUUUCCUGCGUAUUAGAAUCACCUAGGGAGUUUUAAAGCCUUCUGAUGCCUGGGCUGCACCCCAGAGCAAUUAAAUUGGAAUAUCAGAGGAGCCAACAGGAAAAAAUGCACCAGGAGGGAAAGACAGGAAAGGAGGGACAAGAGAGGAAGGGGGGCUCCACACAUCUGCAGCAGGAAAGGCUCGGAUUGCACCACCCACCCCUGCCUGCUGCACACGAGGCUGGGAGCUACCUUGGACUUUGUGGUCGUGGUCAUCCUGCAGGAUUGUGAUGGCAACUGUGUGGUUAUUUUCCAUCUCUAGGAGAGCAGCAUCAUGGCUGGCGGUGAGAUCUUCCACCUGGAGGAGAGUCGCAGUUACUGGUUAGACAGAGAGCUGCUUGGAGAACAGAAGUGGAAUUCCGUGAGUGGAAAAGAGUCCUGAGUGUGGCUCCUGGACCAUCCCCUUCCCACUGCUUGUCCACGCGCUUGCACCGCUAUGAGCGAUGACGGCAAAGGAAAAGAAAAGCGUCCUCCCUACGAGGUGGUCUGUUUCCCAGUGGCAGGGGGAGCUACGGUACACAAGCACAGGUUCACAUUUAUGAAGCAGCCAAUAAGAAUUCCCAGCCUGAGAGGACCUUGGAACCAGAAGGAAUUGGAGGAGAUUUAAACAAGCUGACCCAAGGAAAGCACAAGAUCUUUCUAUGCAUUGAAGAUCACCAAAUCAAAGAUAAAAGUGCUCGACCAUUAUGGCCUAUGGCAAACUCGGGCUGGCUGAAGCAUCCUUCUCUUCCAUUUAGAACCCUGGUGAGGCCCCUUAGACCACCACUGGGCUGUCCUCCUCCCUCCUCAGAGACAGAGUUCUGGGCUGGGCCAUGGAGGUGUCUGUCAACACGGCAGUAGUCCUCGUUCUAUGGAAAACCAGCUGUUCCCUGUGACACGACUCCAUUCCCGCAGCUGCCUGCUAUUCAGCUGGGCUGACGGACAGCAGAGCACAGGGUUGGAAGACCACCCUCUCAGACAGGUUUACCAAGAAGCUCACUGAGAGGCGACACAAACGGCCAAGAACAUGAAAAGACGGUCAGUGCCCUUGCAGAUGGAAGCAGGCAAUCAUUUUUCACCUGCAAGGCUGAUAAAGAUGAAAUGUUCUGAUAAUACAGGAAGAGUAUAAGGAAACUGUCACUCGAUGGACUCCAGGUGAAAUAUAACUAAUCCAGCUGCCUUGGAGGGAAAAGAUAUCUUUCAAAAUUGAAAUGACAGGAAUGGCAGCAUUAUGGGUGGGAGAUAAAGAAUCUGGGUUUCUUUCAGGGGUGAUGAAAAUGUUCUAAAACGGAUUGUGGUGACAGUUUUCCACAACUCGGAAUAUACUGAAAACCACCACAUUGUAUACUUAAAUGGGUGGGUUGUAUGGUAUGUGAAUUAUAUCUCAAUAAAAUUUUUACCAAAAGAGAGGAAGAACAUUUUUAAAAAACUAACAUAACAUGGAAUAUAUCUCAGAGGAUAAAUUUAGAUGUUUUUAUAGAAGGAAAGUUCAUAUUCUGAUUUUAAAACUCUAGAUAACAAUGGUGAAGAUAAAU